CUUUGAUGCAGGACUUCUCCAAACAGCAGUGGGAAUAGAGCAAUCAAUCUCAGCAGGUGGAAGUGUCAAAUGGAAACAUUUUGAUGAAUGGAGUUGGCAGAAAUAUAACAGAAGAAUUCUCUGGGUCAGUCAAGCUAUUUUGCACUUACAUAUAUUAGACAAAGCUGGUUUCACCCUCAUCAACCCAGAAUAGAAGAGACAAAUGGGGUUACCUAUUUCCUGAUAAAUCCUUUUAGAUUGCCAUUCAGGAUACCACAUGCAAUAUACAUUACUUGUAGUUUUCCUUUCUCCUUAAGCAUCUCUUGCCUAAGGACUGUGUAUCUUGUAGCUCCUCCAGCUAUAAUCCACAAUUAUCCUGAAAGUCUGUUAACGUGUAGAUGAGACAUGGGUAAGGAACACAAGAGGAUUUUUCCUGGUUCUUCAUCAUUAAGAUCUGUUUGGGUUCAAGGCAUUAAAACCCACAAAAGUGUAGAGGAUUCCCUAAUACUGUGGUCCCCAGAAGUUCGUCAGUCUCAUGCUGUCACUCUCACACUCAGUACCUAGCAGUUCAUCAAAACUGCCACUCAAAGGCUUUUAUUAGUAUAUGGACUCAGCUGCUUCUGCUCAAAGGAGUAAUUGAGCAAGAAAAGCAGAAAAAUACUGCUGAAUUGCACAGAAUGAGAAGGAAUAAAACAGGCAGCAAGUGCUCUCCUUCUGUUUUUCAUGCAUGUGGGAGUCUCCAGCAUUUACAUUAGCAAGAGUAACAGCCGUGGUGGCAGCAUCUGGAUCCUUGAUUGACAGCAUUAUGGAAAGUUACUGGCCAGAUACUCCUUACUUAAGUUGGCACCAAUCAACUUGCCUGGGGAUCAGUCAAAUGGGGUGAGGUGAGGGGGACUUCAGGAGAUCCUUCCCAGAUGGAUGCCAAAUUCCUUUGAUAGCCCUGUCAUUGUCAAGAAUUUCUUCAAGUUUAUGUGUAUAAGAAUAAAAUCUUGUUCAAGUUUAUGAUGAUUUCUUCCACAUGUUAAGACCCUUUUUAUGACACAGAACAAAGGCCAAAAUCAUUCAAGUAGAGGCAAACGGAGGGUUCAAAAGAUCUAUUGGCUGACACACAAUUUGAUGCAUUAUUAAACUACAUAUUUCACCAUGUGAUAGAGAAUUCAUUUUUCAAUGUGUUAGAUGAAAUAAAAUUUCUACCAAAAUGAAAGAACCCUUUUGAGAUGUCAGAUUUACAGCACAGCUGAAAAGAUUAAUGACUUCAACCCAGAGAAAUUUUAUUUACAGAUAAUGCAAAGAAAGAACAAGCUGAUUUCAUAGUUUGACACCAACGAAUGAACAGAACAUUUAUCUAGUAAAACUAUCACUUUCUUUUAGAUGCCAAGAGCAAAUUUGCUGAGGUUAACCACAAAUGAAGAUUUAUAGUAUAUAAGGGUUAGAUGAAAUACUAAAAAACCUUAACUUUCUGAUGUUUAAUUCCUCGGCAAAUGUCUGCUUUUGUCAGGCUAUGCUUUGAGACCACCAGUGAUAGAAGUUCUCUACUUUCUGAGGCAGACAAUUGAAAAGUAUAUCCUUGUCUUUCAUGGAACUUAUUAACCCUCUAGAUAAUAUGAUCUAACAAUAUCUGUGGUAUCUGAUACCACUUAUGUUAGUCUGCUUUCCAGAUAUUUGAAGGCAACCAUUUUAUCCUACCACUCUUCCUAUUUUGACUCAGCCAUUUUCAGGACAGCUGACUCACCUUCCAACAAUUAUGGUUUGUAUAUUUUAUAACCAUUUAUUUCCCUUGCAUACAUUUCAAUUUGAAUAUAGUUCCUAAAGUGUAAUUCUUAAAACUAAGUAAGACUAAAUUUGAACCAACCAUUCUGGAAUAUAACACAUUUAAUAAUUACAAACCAAG
rnacentral:lncRNA from 10 species